UACGGAGGGUGCAAGCGUUAUCCGGAUUUACUGGGUUUAAAGGGUGCGUAGGUGGGUCUGUAAGUCAGUGGUGAAAUCUCCGAGCUUAACUCGGAAACUGCCAUUGAUACUAUAGAUCUUGAAUAUCCUGGAGGUGAGCGGAAUAUGUCAUGUAGCGGUGAAAUGCGUAGAUAUGACAUAGAACACCAAUUGCGAAGGCAGCUCACUACUGGAUCAGUGACACUGAGGCACGAAAGCGUGGGGAUCAAACAGG
rnacentral:rRNA from 1 species